rnacentral:piRNA from 1 species
GCCUUUCCCUGGAGGUCAGACGGUUGU